UACGUAGGCAGCGAGCGUUGUUCGGAAUUACUGGGCGUAAAGAGUGUGUAGGCGGUGUUCCAAGUUCGGUGUGAAAUCUCGGAGCUUAACUCCGAAACUGCAUUCGAUACUGCCGUGCUUGAGGACUGGAGAGGAGACUGGAAUUUACGGUGUAGCGGUGAAAUGCGUAGAUAUCGUAAGGAAGACCAGUGGCGAAGGCGGGUCUCUGGACAGUUCCUGACGCUGAGACACGAAGGCCAGGGGGAGCAAACGGG
rnacentral:rRNA from 1 species